GUGCCAGCCGCCGCGGUAAUACGUAGGGGGCAAGCGUUGUCCGGAAUCAUUGGGCGUAAAGAGCGUGUAGGCGGUCCGGUCAGUCGGUUGUGAAAGUCAAGGGCUCAACCCUUGAAUGCCGGCCGAUACUGCCGGGCUAGAGUCCGGAAGAGGUGAGUGGAAUUCCUGGUGUAGCGGUGAAAUGCGCAGAUAUCAGGAGGAACACCGAUGGCGAAGGCAGCUCACUGGGACGGUACUGACGCUGAGACGCGAAAGCGUGGGGAGCAAACAGGAUUAGAAACCCGAGUAGUCC
rnacentral:rRNA from 1 species